UGUGUUGCCAUGAAGCGGUGUCGCUGUCUGGACAUACGGGGUGGUGAGCCUGUCAUGCCCUGACACAGGCGAACAGCUAAACUUAAAGUGUGGAGUGAGAGGAAUGCCAAGGUCCAGUAAGCCCCUCGGGGCAAUUAGGAAGGGAAGAGGAGAUUCUACUGGGGAACAAGUGUGUGUUUUCAUGUGUGUGUGAGACAGAAAUAGAGUUGAGAGACUCAGUUGGAAUUCAUGAGCUCGUUUUCAGCCAGAGAAGUAACCAGUGAGCAAAGGAGUUCAUGUGCAGUCAAGAGAACGAGAAGGGAUCAAGCUUGGAGCGUCAAACAGGUUAUGCCCUGUUUUGUGAUUAACCCUGGCAGCCAUACACUACAGCUGGAAGCGCAACACAACAUCCAGCACCGUGAAGCUCCAAGGCUGUAGACAUGACAAGGACAGAGCAGGUCAGCUCAGUAGAGAGCACUCUGUGGUAAUGAGCUGCUCCACUUUCAUGACAGAUGGAAAAUGUGCAGCAUGCUGCGCUCUUCUCCUCCCUUCCCUUCUCCACUCCGCUUCGCCCAGUUCGCCCGACCAUCCAUCCACCCAACGGCGCCGGCACUUCAAUGUAUCAAAUGAUCGGGACGUGGCAACGAGAGGAGGAGCCACUUGGAGUUGAGGCAGUGGAAAGAACGCCUCACCCUGUUCAUCAAUAUUGCAGCUUUACCUGGUGAAAGCUAACACUGCCCAACAUAUUCCAUCGUGUCACUGGAAGAAAGGAUCAGAUACCUUGGCUUGACAUGCCAACAUUGUUACCUGUACAAAUGAUGACGCAAAGCUUGCUUAAUUUUUCAUGGUCUCUUUGAAGGAGGAGGAGAAGUUUGGAGGCACUGGAAAACAGAACGUGUUCAAGAGUGCUAUUAUCAACAAGGAGGUCAUGUUUGUUCUAGGCUGACAAGAUUUGGGGAACUCUUUAUCCCACCUUGCCACUGUUUUGGAUUACAUGACCGUAAGUUCUGAACUGCCAACUUAGCGCACUGAAAGGGCAACAGGAAAAUGUAAAAUCCAGAAGUGAAAAAUGGAAAGAAGUUCAACUUUAACAGCUGAAGUGAAACCUCAAAGGCAACGGUUAAACUGAGGAGGAAAUGAAAAGCAUAUAAAAGGCAAUGGAAAAUGAUUUACUUGGAUAUGAAAUUAUUGUGGUUUAUGAAUUUAACAUUUUUCUCCC